rnacentral:rRNA from 1 species
UACGUAGGGGGCAAGCGUUGUCCGGAUUUAUUGGGCGUAAAGAGCGUGUAGGCGGCCAGGUAGGUCCGUUGUGAAAACUGGAGGCUUAACCUCCAGCUGUCGAUGGAAACCAUCUGGCUAGAGUCCGGAAGAGGAGAGUGGAAUUCCUGGUGUAGCGGUGAAAUGCGCAGAUAUCAGGAAGAACACCCGUGGCGAGGGCGGCUCUCUGGGACGGUACUGACGCUGAGACGCGAAAGCGUGGGGAGCGAACAGG